AUGUCCUUCAUGCACCAUUCUAAUGCACAUGAGGGCUAAAUAAAUAAAUAUAAGAUGGAAAUCAUAAAAUGCUAGAACAUUGAAAAAAUUACUUGUAAACAUAAAAAGAGUGAAAAGUUACUGCUAGUUCCAACUUGGUUUUCAUUGUUGCCUUGAUUCAACAAGAAAGAAGGAAAAUCACAUCACAUGUCUACAUAAGCACAGAAUGUAUGGUCAACCAAACUUAAGUAAAAAGGGGAAAAAU
rnacentral:misc_RNA from 1 species